UACGAAGGGGGCUAGCGUUGCUCGGAAUCACUGGGCGUAAAGGGUGCGUAGGCGGGUUUUUAAGUCAGGGGUGAAAUCCUGGAGCUCAACUCCAGAACUGCCUUUGAUACUGAAGAUCUUGAGUCCGGGAGAGGUGAGUGGAACUGCGAGUGUAGAGGUGAAAUUCGUAGAUAUUCGCAAGAACACCAGUGGCGAAGGCGGCUCACUGGCCCGGUACUGACGCUGAGGUGCGAAAGCG
rnacentral:rRNA from 1 species